GAUUUAAACAAGUGUUCUUUAUGCUAUUUUUAUAAUUAAAUAUUCUAUGAAAAUUAAUAUAUAAAGUAGAAUAUAUUUUAUAACUUAUGAUUAAGUAAAGCUCUUUACAUUAUUUAAAAUAUUUCAAUCGUUUUCAACGAAAAAUUCAAAAUGAAAUACUUCAACAUCAUUUUUGUUUUGUGUUUUGUUAUGUGCAUCGUUUCCUUGUCGGUUGCCUCAGAUUCCACUCUGCAUGACGACGGUACUAAUGAUGAUAAAACUCAACAAGGUUCAGUACCAUUGAAUUCCGUCAACCUUGAUUCAGUUCCUCUUUAAAAAUUUUCAAAAUAUAUGAUAAAACAUUAAUUCAACAAUAUUAUAAUAUUUUCAGUUAAAAAAUCAAUUUAUAUAAAUUUCAUAAUAAAAAUUGUUAUACAUUUUAUAAUGAUUUUGUUUCCAAAAUAAAAUUUCUCAUAACAGUUUA